AGAAUGCAAUCCGGGUGUACGACCAAGAGGCCUUUUGACGUACCCAUGCUUUUCCUUCUCUCGCUUGGAUGAGAACGAAGAACAUCGUCACCCAAACGGGAGAGCAAAGCAAGACGGACGUCAAAGACCUCUCGGUUCGUUCUGAGAAAUACCGGUGAACUUGAUCUGGAUAAUACCAGCGAAAGGAUUUGCUUCUUGGAGACA
rnacentral:ncRNA from 1 species